rnacentral:lncRNA from 1 species
GUGAAGAUAUGGUUCACCUAACCCCACCACCUAAUGUUGUGAGUUGAUGGGAGUGAGGUUGACACAAUAAGGUCUUCCCUUCCUUUGGCAGAGGCAUGGUCUUUCUUCCUACCCCUUCAUUAUGUACACUUUACCAUUUUCAAAUAAAGGGGGGGCAGCUCACGUUUUUUGGAGGAUUCCAGCAGCAGCAGAAGGUAGAGCUCUCGUUUUAGCAAAAGGGUGGUGGUUCUUCAUUGGAUUUUUCCCCUCUCUCUUGGAAGGUGAUUUGCAAGUCAUGGAGGCUGUUCCUGAGCCUGAAAAACACCCAUAAAUUCGAAGAAGAAGCUGCUGAAACGAAGAAGAAGAAGCUGGACAGAUUUCGGCCAAAGAAGGGGAGUAUUCUUCCGGUUUAUUUUCUUGUUUUUUGCCUUGAAUCUUGUUUGUUGAUUGUUGUUUUGGUUGUUUGAACUCCUAGGAUCCCCAACA